rnacentral:rRNA from 1 species
UACGGGAGGCAGCAGUCGGGAAUAUUGCGCAAUGGAGGAAACUCUGACGCAGUGACGCCGCGUGCAGGAAGAAGGUUUUCGGAUUGUAAACUGCUUUAGACAGGGAAGAAAAAGACAGUACCUGUAGAAUAAGCUCCGGCUAACUACGUGCCAGCAGCCGCGGUAAU